ACAAAUACAUAAUAAAUAAACAUAUAAAACAUGCUUCUAAUCAACUAAGACAGUGUGCUUUUUUCUUGGUAAUAAUUUUACUACUAUUCUCUUAUUUGGUAAACAUUCUUAAUUUAACUACUCGAU